CGCGUAGGUGGUUUGUUAAGCGAGAUGUGAAAGCCCCGGGCUUAACCUGGGAACGGCAUUUCGAACUGGCAGACUAGAGUGUGGUAGAGGGUAGUGGAAUUUCCUGUGUAGCGGUGAAAUGCGUAGAUAUAGGAAGGAACACCAGUGGCGAAGGCGGCUACCUGGACCAACACUGACACUGAGGUGCGAAAGCGUGGGGAGCAAACA
rnacentral:rRNA from 1 species